rfam:Sistotremastrum suecicum HHB10207 ss-3 unplaced genomic scaffold SISSTscaffold_96, whole genome shotgun sequence.
GCCCGCCUAGCUCAAUCGGAUAGAGCGUCAGACUCUUAGGAGUUAUCCGGAUUCCGAUUCGGCAUCUGAAGGCUGCGAGUUCGACCCUCGCGGUGGGCU